rnacentral:rRNA from 1 species
UACGGAGGGUGCGAGCGUUGUCCGGAAUCAUUGGGCGUAAAGGGUGCGUAGGCGGUUUGUUAAGUCACUGGUGAAAGUUUUCGGCCCAACCGGAAAAUUGCCUGUGAUACUGGCGAACUUGAGUGCGUGAGGGGUGGGGGGAACGAGCAGUGUAGCGGUGAAAUGCGUAGAUAUUGCUCGGAAGGCCGGAGCCGAAGGGGCCCCACUGGUACGUAACUGACGCUGAGGCACGAAAGCGUGGGGAGCAAACAGG